GGCUCUCUAGUAAAGUGGCGGACGGGUGCGUAACACGUGGGUAAUCAACCUUCCAGCGGGGGGACAACCGUCCGAAAGGAUGGCUAAUACCGCGUACGUCGGUGAGGGCUCCGGUCCUUAUCGGGAAAGAUGGCCUCUCCUUGGAAGCUAUCACUGGAAGACGAACCCGCGGCCCAUCAGCUAGUUGGUGAGGUAACGGCUCACCAAGGCUAAGACGGGUAGCUGGUCUGAGAGGAUGAUCAGCCACACUGGGACUGCGACACGGCCCAGACUCCUACGGGAGGCAGCAGUGGGGAAUAUUGGGCAAUGGGCGAAAGCCUGACCCAGCCACGCCGCGUGAGUGAUGAAGGCCUUCGGGUCGUAAAGCUCUGUGGGGGGGACGAACACACUUGGGGCUAAUCUCCCGAGUUCUGACGGUACCUCCUUAGCAAGCACCGGCUAACCCUGUGCCAGCAGCCGCGGUAA
rnacentral:rRNA from 1 species